rnacentral:rRNA from 1 species
UACGGGGGGAGCAAGCGUUGUUCGGAUUUACUGGGCGUAAAGGGCGCGUAGGCGGCACCGCAAGUCGACUGUGAAGUCUCCGGGCUUAACUCGGAAAGGUCAGCCGAUACUGCGGGGCUAGAGUGCAGAAGGGGCAACUGGAAUUCUCGGUGUAGCGGUGAAAUGCGUAGAUAUCGAGAGGAACACCUGCGGCGAAGGCGGGUUGCUGGGCUGACACUGACGCUGAUGCGCGAAAGCUAGGGGAGCGAACGGG